GACGGAUGGGGCUAGCGUUGUUCGGAAUUACUGGGCGUAAAGGGCUCGUAGGCGGCCAACUAAGUCGGACGUGAAAUCCCCAGGCUCAACCUGGGAACUGCGUCUGAUACUGGAUGGCUUGAAUCCGGGAGAGGGAUGCAGAAUUCCAGGUGUAGCGGUGAAAUGCGUAGAUAUCUGGAGGAAUACCGGUGGCGAAGGCGGCAUCCUGGACCGGCAUUGACGCUGAGGAGCGAAAGCCAGGGGAGCAAACGGG
rnacentral:rRNA from 1 species